GGAAGAAUUUGUCCCUUCCAGUUUUCCAUCACAUCUUCAUCUGCUGGAGGAAUGUCUGUGGUUUUGUCGGAUUCCUCAGAGUGAACAAAUCCUCAUAUUUCCUUCUAUGAAGGAAAGAUGACGGGAAAUGAAGCGAUCAACUCGAAUAGGCAAGUUGUCGUGUUUAAAAAGUCCAUGUUUUAUAUUUUUGAACUCUGCUUCAACAGUGGCUGAGCUUGCUGUGAGGCUGGUGCUUUUGAAGAGGGGGACCAUAACUCCUGUCCAAAGUGUCUCCUAGGUCAGUCUGGAUCUCAUCAAAAGGAUCCCCUUGAUGCAUUUCCU